UUCUAUUUUCAUGUAAAAUUCUCUAUUUCUGAUUUGGUUAUCUCGAUCAUUGAAUGUGUUUCCUGGAAUAAAAAUUUAUUACAACAUCGUUUAUCUAUUGUGACUACUAGAAGGGUCUUUUAUCACUUGAAUGCUUAGACAUGAACUCUGAAAAAAUUGUUUGACCAUCCAAAUUGUUUACCAAUACGUCUAGUGUGGGACAAUAGUGCACUAUCAAUAAUAAGACACAACAAACGUUCUAACCAAGAAGUACACACUAGGAAGACAAAGGUAAAGACUUAAAAUCUCAGAUGAUCCGUCUUCUUUCUCCCUCAACUUCAAUCUCUUCUCCCAGUUCUUCUCUGUCGCUCUCUGCCUUUAUAUCUUUUUUUUUUCUAUGGCAAAUCUUCUAUCGCCGCCCUCUGAUUCUCUGAAGAUUCCACAGCGUAUUUCAUCUUUUUUUUUCUUUUUUUUUCAAAAACAAAUAAAGUAUUUUUUCUACAUAUUUCUUUCACUACAAUUUAGAAAGACUUAUUCAAUUUGAACUUAAUCAAAAGGAAUUUUAAAAAAAAUUGUUAUUUAAUUUAUCCCAUAUAAACUGAAACAUCCUGCUUCCCUUUUAUUCGUCCUUAAACAUAUUCACAUACUUACCUUGAGUUUUGAGAAACUUGAAGCUUUAAUUUCUUUGUCAUGAUAAUGAUCACUGUUUUUUUUGUGAAGAACAAUAUUCAAGCGGUAUUAUUCUCAUACUUACCUUGAGUUUUGAGAAACUUGAAGCUUUAGUGUCUUUGUCACGUUUUUGUAUAGGUUCUCAUACUCUUUUUUUUUAAUAUGCUUUAUCGGAUGAUCAGAUAGGUUCUGGAAAUAACGCAUUUAAUGCUAUAGAGUGGAUUAGCUACCACACUAGCUGAUUUGAGUUUGUAAUACAUGCAUUCCGACUAAGACUAGGAAUAACCAAAUCGUA
rnacentral:lncRNA from 1 species